UACGUAGGGGCGAGCGUUGUCCGGAAUUACUGGGCGUAAAGCGUGCGUAGGUGGUUUGUUAAGUCUGUUGUGAAAGCCCGGCUCAACCUGGAAUGGCAAUGGAUACUGGCAGGCUAGAGUGCGGUAGAGGUAGUGGAAUUCCCGGUGUAGCGGUGAAAUGCGUAGAGAUCGGAGGAACACCAGUGGCGAAGGCGGCUACCUGGACCAGCACUGACACUGAGGAGCGAAGCGUGGGAGCGAACAGGAUU
rnacentral:rRNA from 1 species